GAUGAACGCUGGCGGCAUGCCUAAUACAUGCGAGUCGAGCGAACAGAUGAGGAGCUUGCUCCUCUGACGUUACCGGCGGACGGGUGAGUAACACGUGGCUAACCUACCUAUAAGACUGAGCUAACUUCGGGUAACCGCAGCUCAUACCGGUGAAUAUAUUGAACCGCAUGGUUCAAUAGUGAAAGACGCUUUUGCUGUGACUUACAGAUUGAUCCGCGCCUGAUUAGCUAAUGGGUAAGGUAGCGGCUUACCAAGGCCACGAUGCGUAGCCGCCCUGAGAAGGUUAGGGGCCACGCUUGAACUGAGAGACGGUCCAGACUCCUCCGGGAGGCAGCAGUAGGGCCUCUUCCAGGAUGGGCGAAGGCAUGACGGAGCAACGCCGCGUGAGUGAUGAAGGUCUUCGGAUCGUAAAACGCUGUUAUUAGGGAAGAACAAAUGUGUAAGUAACUAUGCACGUCUUGACGGUACCUAAUCAGAAAGCCACGGCUAACUACGUG
rnacentral:rRNA from 1 species